rnacentral:tRNA from 1 species
GCUCAGGUGGCGGAAUUGGCAGACGCGCUAGGUUCAGGUCCUAGUUCCCGCUAAGGGAGUGAAGGUUCGAAUCCUUUCCUGAGCA